UAUAUGGGAACUGUUUAUCCAGUUGGAGGGUCAUUUCCUUUUUUUUUUUUCUUUCUUUUUUCCUUAUUUGUUUUUAAUACUAUCUGGAGAAAUGAAAUAAUAAAGGGGAAAAUUAGGAUUUUUUUUAUUAUUUCUUUAAAUUUUAAUUUAACUUAAAAUUGAAGUAUCGUUAAUUUACAAAGUUGUGUUAGUUUCUGGUGUAUAGCAAAGUGAUUCAGUUACACAAAUAUAUUUAUGUAUUCUUUUCAGAUUAUUUUCCAUUAUAGGUUAUAACAAAUUAUUGAAUAUAGUUCCCAGGCUAGGGGUUGAAUCGGAGCUGUAGCCACCAGCCUACGCCAGAGCCACAGCAACGCGGGAUCCGAGCCGCGUCUGCAACCUACACCACAGCUCACGGCAACGCCGGAUUGUUAACCCACUGAGCAAGGGCAGGGACUGAACCCGCAACCUCAUGGUUCCUAGUCGGAUUCGUUAACCACUGCGCCACGAUGGGAACUCCUCAAAAUAAGAUUUUUAAGAUUUUAUUUUUAUACUUUCUUAGAGAUAAGAGGCUGACACUUUUGUCAGGGGAGAGACUUGGAGCUUAAAUGGCAUUUUUUAUUUUUCUACCCAUGGGAUUAUUGAUUUGGGUUACAUUCCAUAGAUCUAUGACCUCACGCUCCCCAAAUGUGUUAAGGGAGAUCUGAUGUGGUUAAUCUGUUUGCUCUUUGUGGAUCAUUGGAUGAUUUCAAGUGCAAUAGUAUGGAAUGGAGGAAGACUUCCUUGAAAUGCCAACUUCAGUUUAUUGUUUUUUUCUCUUUGGUGCAUGGUGAGUAUAUAGGUGCUCAAUAUAUGCUUUAAUAUUUUCCCUAAUUGUGGGGAAAUAUUGAUCACUUAUGUGGCCUCAGUUCUUAUUAGUUUGUCAUGGGAAAUACAAUUUCUGACUAGUGGCCAUGUUUGAUGGGCAACUUCUGCAUAUAAAACAUUGGCCUACAUUUGCAGCAACAUGAAUGGACCUAGAGAUUAUCAUACUAAGUGAAGUAAGACAGAGAAAUAUAAAUAUCAUAUGGUAUCACUUAUAUGUGAAAUCUAAAUAACUGAUACGAGUGAACUGACAAAACAGAAAUAAACUCACAGACAUAGAAAACAAACUUAUGGUCACCAAAGGGUAAAGAUGAGGGGAGGGAUAAAUUAGGAGUUAGAGAUUAAUAGAUACAAACUACUAUAUAUAAAAGAAGUAAACAAUAAGAUAAUACUGUAUAACAUAGGAACCUAUAUUCAAUAUCUUGUAACAAACCAUAGUGGAAAGGAAUCUGAAAACGAAUGAAUGAAUGAAUGAAUGAAUGAAUAAAUAAAUAAAUAUUGGCUUAAAAUGCUAUGGAGAUUGUAAAGGAAGUAGAAAGCAAAACUAGUGACUUCACAGUGUUGAAAGGGUAGAUACUUGCAUAGAAUACACCCAAGAAUUCAUGAUGUAAAUCACUAUGUAAAAUCACAUAUAUGAUACCAGAACUCAUUUAUUUCCUACUCUAGGUAUCAUAUUUUAGGAAAGAGCAUAAUGUGAAAAGGGAAAAUAAAUUACUUGAGGAAUUUUGAAUUUCAAUCUUGACAAAAUUGGAAUAGAUUAUUGUAUAUAAAUCCAGUCAUACUUGGUUUCAUUCAUAAUUAAAAAGCUGAUUCCAAACCAUAAUAACUGUAUUAGUGUAUUAAUGCUACUAACACUUAUUGUGCACCUACUGUGUAAUAGUUACUCUACUAAGUAGCUUAUGAGUAUUACUCAUUUAAUUCAUACAACAGCCUGUGUGGCAAGUGCUGUUAUUGUCUCCUUUUUUUUCUUUUUAUGGCUUGCACCUGCAGUAUAUGGAAGUUCCUGGACCAGGCAUUGAAUUGCCAGAUCCUUUAACCCACUGCAUCAGGCUGGGGGUGAAAUCUGCACCUCUGCAGUGACCCUAGCAGCUAUAGUUGUGUUUUUAAUCCACUGAACCAUAGUGGGAACUGCUAUUAUCCCAAUUUUAUGGAUAGAAAAUUGAAGCAACGGAAAGCUCAGUAACUUGCUUAAGGACACACAUAUAGUAAGUGGUGAUGGAACUGGGUUUAAACCCAAGGAGGCUGGUUUCAGAUCCUGUAUCUAUAUUAAGAAGUUUAUCUUUGUAUCCAAGUUAAACUUUGCGUCCAAGUUUCAGGUGGUAUUAGUUCGCUGUGGCUGGUAUAACAAAUUAUCACAGACUUGGUGGCUUUCAACAACAGACAUUUAUUCUCUCAGAGUUCCCUUCUGGAAGUCUGGGAUCAAAACGUUGCAGAACACACUCUCUCUGAAAGCUCUAGGAGAGAAUCCUCCCUUGUCUAGUCCAGCUUCUGGUGGCUCCAGAUGUCACUGGCUUGUGGCCCACAUCACUCCAAAUUCAGCCUCUCCCUUCACAUGGCCUUAUUCCCCUUUCCAUGUCUCACUGUAUCCUCUACUUUUCUUACAAGGACACCAGUCAAUGGAUUUAAGGCCCACCUGGUUAAUCUAGGAUGAUUUCUUCUAGAGAUCCUUCAAUAAUUACACAUGAAAUGUCUCUUAUUAUUCUUUUUCUUUUUCAGCUUCAUCCAUGGCAUAUGGGCAUAUGGAAGCUUCUAGGCCAGGGAUGGAAUCCAAGCCACAGCUGUGACCUGUGCCACAGCUGCAGUAACACUGGAUCCUUAAUCCACUGCAUUGGGCUCGGGAUUGAACUGGUGUCAUCACAGAGACAAGCUGGAUCAUUACCCCACUGCACCAGAAUCAGAACUCCAGUUCCCUAUUUUCUUUCCUUCCUUCCUUCCUUCCUUCCUUCCUUCCUUCCUUCCUUUCUACCUGCACCUGUGGCAUAUGGAAUUUCCCAGGCUAGGGAUUGAAUCAGAACUGUAGCUGCUGGCCUACUACAGCCACAGCCACGUGGAAUCCUUAAUCCAC
rnacentral:lncRNA from 9 species